AGGACGAACGCUGGCGGCGUGCUUAACACAUGCAAGUCGAACGGUAAGGCCCCUUCGGGGGUACACGAGUGGCGAACGGGUGAGUAACACGUGGGUAAUCUGCCCUGCACUUCGGGAUAAGCCUGGGAAACUGGGUCUAAUACCGGAUAUGAACUCCUGCCGCAGUGGGUGGGGGUUGGUAAAGUUUUC
rnacentral:rRNA from 1 species